rnacentral:tRNA from 1 species
GGCCCGGUAGCUCAGUUGGUAGAGCAACGGACUGAAAAUCCGUGUGUCGGCGGUUCGAUUCCGCCCUGGGCCA